rnacentral:lncRNA from 1 species
AACUUCACCUGUGUGACGACCUGGGUAUUCAUUGGGUUUUUUCCAGUAGAAGACUGAUGACUCCGCCCCCCCGUAACCCGGUUGCAUCAGUGACACCUGUGCCCAAUUUCCCUUGCCUCUUUAAGAGAAGCAAGCUCGAUGGCAGGGGGCGCGGGCGGCCAACUUGAUUGUUUUUCGUUAUGGUUUGAUAAUGUUUCUUUUUGCAUACAUCACGAGAUUACAGCACAGCACAGCACAUUACAUUUUCACACAUACCCUUAGGACGCAAUUACUGACUUUUGAAUACUACCAUACUUUGUUUUGUAUAGCCUAUUUGUCUUAUUUAAAUAAAACGUUUCUUUACGAAUUGGCUCUCUUAUGUCCCAGUUUUUGUUGCGUCCCCUUUUGAGUCACGGGGCGUAACACAGUUGUUAUAGUUACAACAAUCCAGAUCACCUAUAGGUUAACAAAUUAAUCCAAAAGACACAAUCAACACAUCGUCAUCAAACAGCAUCAAAUUGUAAUUCUAAACAGUUAUAACAAUCAGUCAGGUUCCACAGUCACUCAAACUCAUCAUGAAUACAUAGUGGAAAAGAACACCUCAUUCAAAACAAUUGCAUGACUAUAGCAUUACAUUAAAUAAUGCUUCAUCGUUCAUACCCAUAGGUGAUAAAGUUUGGAGGGUGUAAAUCCAAAACAGUUCGCGUCUUUGUAGAAGUAAUUCAAUGUCUCCACCUCUAGGUGGCAAAGUUACUUUUUCAAUCCCACAAAAACGUAAAGAGGUUACGUCAUGAUUCAAAGUUAAAAAGUGUACCGCAACUGGAUAAUUUAGAUCUUUUCUUCUUAUUGAACUCUUAUGUUCACUAAUUCUUUGUUUCAACUGACGUGACGUUUUUCCCACAUAGCCUAUACCACAAGGACAACGAAUCAAAUACACUACAUGAGUGGAAACACAAGUAAUCACAGAUUUGAUGCUAUAUUUUUUGCCCGUUCUAGGAUGACAAAAAGUUGAUGUUUUAAAAGUAUUAUUACACUGAGCACAAUUCCCACAACGAUAAUUGCCCUUCUGUAUGGGACUAAGUAGACUCUGAGAUGCACGAGGGCUAACGCUCUGAAAACGAGCAUGUACCAAACUGUCUUUUAAAUUCUUAGCGCGUUUGUAUACAAUCAAAGGAGGAUGUCUAAAAAUAUCGCUCAACUCCGAAUCAGAAGACAACAAAUGCCAGUGUUUUUUAAAAAUAGAUUUUAUCAUGUAAGACUUAGGUGAAUGUGUUGUAAUACAAGCAAAAGAAUACUUUCUCGUUUUUCUUGUUUUCUUUUUUAGCAAUUCAGACCGCGUCUUUUUAAAAGCUGUAUUAAAUCCUUC